UAAGUGACUCUACUUCUCGUGCUGCAUGUUAGAUGCCUUGUUCAGUGGUCUGCAUAUGGGCAUCCACCACAGUGGUCCAGGCAUGAAAAUCACCAACCGGGUUUUGGGAAGAAAGUCCAUAUGGGAGUGAUGACAAGCAACAAUCCUUCUGUGCUCCAAAGAAGAGAAAUUGAAUAAUCUUUGACUGACAUGGAGACAAGAAGAGAGAACAUCGUUUCCUCCCCAUCCUGAUCUACGUGUCCCACACCACCAAGAACGUGCCAGGGUAUUCAUGAAGCACCUAGUAUGCACCAGGCACCGUACCGAGCGCCGGUUCCGGUACCGAUCAUGGGUUCGGACGGAGAAGAAAGGGUGGAUUCUAGAGAUUCGCGAAGGUAGAACUGACAGGUCUGGGCGACGGAUCGGGUCGGAUGAGAGCGAUGAAUCGAAGAUCACACCAAGGUCACGGGGCUCGUGGGAUGGGGACUUUGAACUACAGAGCUCAGUACAGUGUACAAGGUAAUAAUCAUAAUGGCAUUUGUUAAGUGCUCACUACGUGCCAAGCUCAGUUCUAACCAUCGAGGGCCGUUCCCCGACGGCAUUGGCUAUUCGGGCACCAGAGCGGAGACGAUAAGGCUCACCGUCGGCGGCGUUCGUCAAUCCUCACCGUGUAUGGGACACCGGACCGAGCCCUCGGGAGAGUCCGGCAGAGUCGGGGGACACAUCUCCGGCCCACGGCGAACUUCGGCCUCGAGGCGGGUAGGUGGACGGCGAUGUCGGCUCUAUAGCUCCGAAUGACCUGUGAUCUUUCUCGAGGGCUCACUAAGGGGCGGGUCCUGUACUGACAUCCGGUGACAUCGAA